rnacentral:rRNA from 1 species
GGCGGACGGGUGAGUAAUACUUAGGAAUCUACCUAGUAGUGGGGGAUAGCUCGGGGAAACUCGAAUUAAUACCGCAUACGACCUACGGGAGAAAGGGGGCAACUUGUUGCUCUCGCUAUUAGAUGAGCCUAAGUCGGAUUAGCUAGAUGGUGGGGUAAAGGCCUACCAUGGCGACGAUCUGUAGCUGGUCUGAGAGGAUGAUCAGCCACACCGGGACUGAGACACGGCCCGGACUCCUACGGGAGGCAGCAGUGGGGAAUAUUGGACAAUGGGGGCAACCCUGAUCCAGCCAUGCCGCGUGUGUGAAGAAGGCCUUUUGGUUGUAAAGCACUUUAAGCAGUGAAGAAGACUCCAUGGUUAAUACCCAUGGACGAUGACAUUAGCUGCAGAAUAAGCACCGGCUAACUCUGUGCCAGCAGCCGCGGUAAUACAGAGGGUGCAAGCGUUAAUCGGAAUUACUGGGCGUAAAGCGAGCGUAGGUGGCUUGAUAAGUCAGAUGUGGAAUCCCCGGGCUUAAC